GACGAACGCUGGCGGCGUGCUUAACACAUGCAAGUCGAACGAUGAAGCUGGAGCUUGCUCCGGUGGAUUAGUGGCGAACGGGUGAGUAACACGUGAGCAAUCUGCCCUUGACUCUGGGAUAACUGCGGGAAACUGUAGCUAAUACCGGAUACGAGGCUCGAAGGCAUCUUCGGGUCUGGAAAGAAUUUCGGUCAAGGAUGAGCUCGCGGCCUAUCAGCUUGUUGGUGAGGUAAUGGCUCACCAAGGCGACGACGGGUAGCCGGCCGGGGAGGGUGACCGGCCACACUGGGACUGAGACACGGCCCAGACUCCUACGGGAGGCAGCAGUGGGGAAUAUUGCACAAUGGGCGAAAGCCUGAUGCAGCAACGCCGCGUGAGGGAUGAAGGCCUUCGGGUUGUAAACCUCUUUUAGCAGGGAAGAGGCGAAAGUGACGGUACCUGCAGAAAAAGCACCGGCUAACUACGUGCCAGCAGCCGCCGUAA
rnacentral:rRNA from 1 species